rnacentral:misc_RNA from 1 species
GCUGGCACCAACAGCCAUCAGGUAAUUUUUCAUAGCAGUAUGUUCCUUAUGUUGGAACAAGUAAAUGGAUUUUGAAAGGUCUGAAGUGCAGCUUCUUGUGGAUAGCUGUAAUGUAUAAUAAGUAAAUAUUUUGAUGUAAAAUGUCAUCAUUUAUGAUACUUUGCACUUAUACUUUCUUUGUUAUUUGCCUAUGUGAAGCAAUUUUGAUUAUGUUGAAUGUGGUUACUCCAAAAUGGUGAUAUAUUUAGAAUGUUUAGUUCUUGCAUCACUGUCCUUGUUGUUCUUACUGUAGGAAGUCUGCCCUUCUUUUCACACAUCUUGUAAAUGUCAAUAGAUAUUUUUCUUUAAUUAUGGGCAGAACAUGUGAAAAUGCAUUUCUAUGUUGUUAUAAUUAAAAAAAAAAGUAAAAAAAAGGCAUAUAAUAUUUUAUCAUCUCCAUUGUUGUCACUUUUCAUAAUGCUUUCUCUAAGUCACAAAUUAA